rnacentral:tRNA from 1 species
CGGCAGAUUCCUAAGGAUUAAAGCCCUGCAUUCACACUGCAGGGGUCGCAUGUUCGAAACUUGCACUUCCCACCA